rnacentral:rRNA from 1 species
AACGUAGGACACAAGCGUUAUCCGGAGUUACUGGGCGUAAAGGGCGUGUAGGCGGAUCAAUAAGUCUAUUCUGGAAGCUCCUGGCUAAACUGGGAGAGGCGAAUGGAGACUGUUGGUCUAGAGUGAGGAAGAGGAAAGUGGAAUUCCGCGUGUAGUGGUGAAAUGCGUAGAGAUGCGGAGGAACACCAGUGGCGAAAGCGGCUUUCUGGUCCUUAACUGACGCUGAGGCGCGAAAGCAUGGGGAGCGAACGGG